GUGCUCACUUCAGCAGCACAGAUAAUUAAAAUUGGGCUGAUAGAGAAUAUUAGUAUGUCCCCUGCACAAGGAUGACAUGCAAAUUUGUGAAGUGUACCAUAUUUUA